GGGCGGGUGGCGGAAUUGGCAUACGCGUUAGCCUAAGGAGCUAAUGGGGUAAAACCCGUGCAGGUUCAAGUCCUGUCCCGCCCACCA
rnacentral:tRNA from 1 species